AUGAAAGGAGUCACCGAAGACUCUAAAGAGGUUUAUGCAUGCCAAUGUAUCCAAGUAAAAGAAGGGAAAGGCAUGAAUCUUCAAGUAAGAAGUACUGGGUAAUUAGAGACAGAGUCUCGUGGAAAUAAUUAAGGUAAGGAUCUUAAAAUGAGAUCAUCUGGGAUUUGGGUGGGCCCUGAAUUCAAUGGUGGGUAUCCUUAAAAGAAACAGAAAAGAAGAUACACAGACACAAAAAGAGAAGCUGUGAGAAGACAGAGGCAGAAAUUAAACUGCUGUGUCUUCAAGCCAAGGGAUGACAGUCACCAGAAGCUGGAGAGAGGCAUGGAAUAGUUUCUCUCCCAGAACCUCCAAAAGGACUCACUCCACCAACCUAUUAUUUUCAGGUUUCUAGAUAUCAGAAAGGUAAGAGACUAAAUUUCUGUUAAGUCACCCAAAAGAUUCUAAUGAGCACUAAAUUCCAGACCUACGGCUUGAGCAUUGAGGGAAACAAAUUUGCGAAACUAGAGCUCAUUAUUUCUACUUAAUUUCUGGCAAGUUGUUUUAUAGAAAACUCUCACCUUACCUCUAGGCAUGAUUGAUACCAACUUAGCUUCAGAUAAUGCUAAGAAAACUUUCAUUUCAAUGUCUUUUCAAGGAAAUUAGGUCUAGAAAUCAGAUAAUUUCACAGGGUAAUAAAUAGAUCCUAGAGGUAGUUUCUGGUUUAAUUUGAGAAUGCCUAUCUAACAAAAUAUAUUAAAUUUAGGCCAAAAUGUGUUACUUUUCUAUUACUCUUGAAACCAGAGCUUGUUGGAAGAACAUUCUUUUCAGAUUUAACUAAUUUGUCAUUAAUAAGCUGUGUUCAGAAGUGCAUGGUCCUGCCAAAUGCUACAUUUGAAAAAGUUUCCUGUGACUUGAAACCAUUAUU
rnacentral:lncRNA from 1 species